rnacentral:rRNA from 1 species
AAGGCCUUCGGGUUGUAAAGCACUUUCGGCCGGAACGGAAAUACGCGCGGGCUAGUUACCCCGCGUGGAUGACGGUACCCGGAAGAAGAAGCACCCGGCUAACUACGUGC